AUUGAACGCUGGCGGCAUGCCUUACACAUGCAAGUCGAACGGUAACAGGUCUUCGGCUGCUGGCGGGUGGCGAACGGGUGAGUAAUACAUCGGAACGUGCCCAGACGUGGGGGAUAACGAGGCGAAAGCUUUGCUAAUACCGCAUACGAUCUAAGGAUGAAAGCAGGGGACCGCAAGGCCUUGCGCGUUUGGAGCGGCCGAUGGCAGAUUAGGUAGUUGGUGGGAUAAAAGCUUACCAAGCCGACGAUCUGUAGCUGGUCUGAGAGGACGACCAGCCACACUGGGACUGAGACACGGCCCAGACUCCUACGGGAGGCAGCAGUGGGGAAUUUUGGACAAUGGGCGAAAGCCUGAUCCAGCAAUGCCGCGUGCAGGAUGAAGGCCUUCGGGUUGUAAACUGCUUUUGUACGGAACGAAAAGGCUCUGGCUAAUACCUGGGGCACAUGACGGUACCGUAAGAAUAAGCACCGGCUAACUACGUG
rnacentral:rRNA from 1 species